UCUAUCUCAGUCCCAAAAUCCUCCACCCUCAAAUUCUUCGUCUUCCUGGCUUACAUCAUUAAACAUGGAACACGCAGGUUCCAUUUUGUUAGUCAAGGGGAUGUUCUCCGUGAUUUUGAUCUUUGUUUUAGUUAUCAGAUCAAUCAGAAUUGCAUAAAUUAGUCUCACAUCAACCGGGAUUGCAAAACUCAAAUUACAGGGUACCAGACUGUCCAGACUAACGAAGGUCAGAGAUGUCACUCAAGUUCACCUCCACAAUCAUUAUUAUUGGAUCUCCUAAGAAGAAGUAAACAUAAGCCUAAACCCUUGAAAAUGAACUUGACCUCUAUAUAUUUCCUUCUCAAUUUUGAUCUUAAGGGUUUCUUCUCAUUUUUUUCAAUAUGAAACUUAGAUUGUGCCAGUUGAGUCUUUGAUUAUAAUUGUUACCACUUGAAUUUUAAUUGGCACCAAGGUGUUACAUUGUCCUACACUAACUAUUUGAAUAAGAACAUCAGUUGGGGAUUAUUAUUGAAAUUAUGGGUCGGUAUCAUUGCAGAAAAUCGACGGCAUGAGCCAUUUCAAUCUGCUCUUUUGAUUAUCAUUCAAAUCUAUUUCUUAUGGACUUUGGUUUUUUAUUCAUAUUUUGGUGAUGGAUUUCACUGAUGUCUCAAAUUCAUUGGAAGCAUUCGUAAAAGUCAAACAGUUGCAGAUUUACCAUCAAUGUGUUUUUUUGGGAGACACAUAGAACUAUCUAGGUUUUAAUUUGCAGUUCAUAAUUUCGGGAUCGAAGCAGCAACAAGGGUUGUUAGAGUUCUAAGCAGCAUGGGUUUUCAUAUAAGUAGUUGGACCAGAUGCAGUUGAUUCAAAGGAAAGAAUGGAAACAAAGAUAUACACUCAUCUUAGGGUUAAGCAACCAUCAGUUCUAUCCUUUUUCUGCUUCUUCAGAGAUUACGUCGCAUUGUUCAGUCGUAAUUUGUGCCUUAUGGUAACAAAGGCGACCAUUUUACCACUUUCAGGAAAGACGUCAUGUUGCCCUUAACCGGGUUCAUGUCUAAUAAUCCUCAACAAAGUAAUCGGUAACUCCUUUUGUAGUUACUGUGAGUAAAGAUGUGUCCAGGUUUACUACACCAAUUCUUAUUAUAUUCUCUAGCAUGUUGAUCAGUAAAGUACUCUUUAUAUUAUUUUUUUUGUCUUUGCAGUAUGUUGAUUAAUGUCCUCCUAAAUUUCAACCUUAAAUUCUUGCAUUGCCUGUGAGCUAUUACGCAAACUAUGGCUUGACCCAGCAAAUGUGAAUGCCAAAGAGGUGAUAUGCCCAUUGGGGUGUCUUCUUGGUGCUACAGGUACCAAAUUCGUGCUUUGUUUAUCUAUAAAAUGUGUUUGGUUAGUAAAUUGUGGUGUAGUGAUAUUGAGAACCACGGUGUUAUUUAUUAUGCAUAUAUACUGGCACAUGAAUGAGAUUUGCUGUACACUCGCGGGAGGUAUUGUGUCAAUGACCUGGGCCACGCACGUCGAAUCUAUGCUCAUAAUUUCCUGUUCAGGGAUUCUCGAUAAAAUGUUAUAGAUAACGAGAUCAAGGUGAUCAUAGCCAGAGAGUAGUUGGUAUGACCGUUUGAUAAGUAUAUGGUGUUUCUAUUCAUAAUACACAGAUUUUUUUUUUUUGGCUCGGUGUUCAUAAUACAUGGCAAUAAGAUAGUGAAAGAGUUAUCUAUGCGCUUUAGGUCGAGAAUGGAACUUUGAACAUGAUAUAGACACUCAUUUGGCCAUUUGGGUAGGUCGAGAAUUCAAUUCUUCUUAUAUUCUCUAGCAUGUUGAUCAGCAAAGUACUCUAUAUUAUUUUUUUCCCUUUGCAGUAUGUUGAUUAAUGUCCUCCUAAAUUUCAACCUUAAAUUCUUGCAUUGCAUUUGUUCAGCCAUUACAGUAAGAAGCAACCAUUUCAUGCGUAGAACUCAUUGGAUCCACAAACUUUAUUAUAUGUUAAUUUGUGAAUGGUUUAGAAUGAUUGGGCGACUGAUGGGUGCCUAACACCUUCCCAUAUCGUACUAGAAUUUCCAUACCCCGAACUCUCUGAUAGCAGACCUUGAACAUGUAAGUCAUAACUAGAUUUUGUUUUCCCAAAAGAAUUCGAACUAGUAAAAAAGGGUCCUGAUUCCCCUUAGUCAGGUGGCGACUUUAAAAUAUCUCUCUUUUCUUUGGAGAGUUAAUUCUUAUUAAGAAACUAGUAAGAAGUUAUCUCUGUACGAACUUGGGCGAUAAACAUCCAAGAACGGAUGAGCACAUAGACUUCACCCCCAUAAUAAUUAGGGUCGGAACAGCCUGACUCUUGACCCGUGCUACUACUCGAUUUCUACAGUGGCCACUAUGUUGAGGACCUAAGAGAUUCAACUUGAAAAAUGAUUAAUGUGAAAAUUUUGUAAUCUUUUUGUUUAUUAUGUACUAAUGUUCACUUAUCUAAGAUUUUGUGAUUGAAGGUACUUGUCUAAGCAUAAGCAACCAUAACGCAAAGGGAACUUACACUCGUCCACAGGAAAAUAUCAGUCUUAUGCUUAGAAGCAUGAUACAAGAGAAAUGAUAUGGGGAACCAUUAAGGAUUUCCAUAUCCUUUAAAUCAAGCCCACAAACACUACCCAACCACCCAUAUUUCACUACCCAAUUUCCAUAUCAUUUUAAUCAAACCCACAAACACUAUCCAAUCACCCAUAUUUCAUUACCCAAUUACCCAUUUCCAAAAAUCUCUUCAACAUUACCGACAUUCUCUUUUCUCAUCAAUUAAAAGAAUUCCCUCCUUCUCCCCCACACCAUAAAAUCGUGACACUUUAAUAUUUUUAAUAUAUCCCCAUUUAACCCAUUACCAAAAAAAGCAAAAAAUUAUCCUUCUCAAAUCCCACUAAAAACUACUCUUUUACAAAAAAAAAUAAAUAAACCUCUCUCAUCCCACCAUCCAUCAAACAAUUUUAAAUACAUCACAUGCACCCCAAUAUUCAUCUUCAUCAUUUUCUCCAUACAUUUUUUACACCUAUCCCAUACCUUUCUACAACUAUAUAAGACAUGCCUUGCUUCGUUUGGAAACCAAGGAAUUACACCCAAAAAAAAAACCAACCGUUUUUCACACCCUACAAUCAAGUAUACCAAGAAAAUCUUACUCUGCCCAAGAAAGAUUUAUUCUUCCCAUAUAAAAGAAAGUCAAUAAUGUUGCAUUGACCGUGGCAAAUCCCGGGAGAGAGAAAGUUAACCUGCCCCCUUUUAACUCCUGGUGGGUCCCUCAAGGCUCUCUUUCCCUGGAUUUUCCACGGUCAACGUAGCACUACUCAAGGGAAGUUCAUUUUCUCCCCAUGCAAACAAAAAAAUUCUAAUUUUCACACCCACAUCUUUCAACCAAGCAGAAUUAUUAUCUUCAAAAUAGAAAAUACUUCUUCUUACAUAUUCCAAGUCUACAAUCUCAUUCCACUUAAGAAUAUAUUCAUGUAUUUUGCUAUUUAAUCAAAGAACAAUUUCAAUUUCCUCCUAAA